GUCAGAAUGGCUGAGUGGUUUAAGGUGCCAGACUCAAGUUCUGGUUUCCAGAUGGAGGCGUGGGUUCAAAUCCCACUUCUGACA
rnacentral:tRNA from 1 species